GUGAGGAAUUUUGCGCAAUGGCCGCAAGGCUGACGCAGCAACGCCGCGUGGGUGAAGAAGGCCUUCGGGUCGUAAAGCCCUGUCAGGUGGGAAGAAAGGUUUCGUCAAGAAACGGAUGGAAUUUGACGGUACCACCAGAGGAAGCACCGGCUAACUCCGUGCCAGCAGCCGCGGUAAUACGGAGGGUGCGAGCGUUAUUCGGAAUUAUUGGGCGUAAAGCGCGUGUAGGCGGGGAUACAAGUCUGAUGUGAAAGCCCUGGGCUUAACCCGGGAAGUGCAUUGGAAACUGUAUUUCUUGAGUACUGGAGAGGAAGGGGGAAUUCCCGGUGUAGAGGUGAAAUUCGUAGAGAUCGGGAGGAAUACCAGUGGCGUAGGCGCCUUUCUGGACGGUUACUGACGCUGAGACGCGAAAGCGUGGGGAGCAAACAGGAUUAGAAACCCGUGUAGUCC
rnacentral:rRNA from 1 species